GAUGAACGCUGGCGGCGUGCCUAAUACAUGCAAGUCGAGCGAACGGACGAGAAGCUUGCUUCUCUGAUGUUAGCGGCGGACGGGUGAGUAACACGUGGAUAACCUACCUAUCCGACUGGGAUACCUUCGGGAAACCGGAGCUAAUACCGGAUAAUAUUUUGAACUGCAUGGUUCAAAAGUGAAAGACGGUCUUGCUGUCACUUAUAGAUGGAUCCGCGCUGCAUUAGCUAGUUGGUAAGGUAACGGCUUACCAAGGCAACGAUGCAUAGCCGACCUGAGAGGGUGAUCGGCCACACUGGAACUGAGACAGGGUCCAGACUCCUACGGGAGGCAGCAGUAGAGAAUCUUCCGCAAUGGGCGAAAGCCUGACGGAGCAACGCCGCGGGAGUGAUGAAGGUCUUCGGAUCGUAAAACUCUGUUAUUAGGGAAGAACAUAUGUGUAAGUAACUGUGCACAUCUUGACGGUACCUAAUCAGAAAGCCACGGCUAACUACGUG
rnacentral:rRNA from 1 species